rnacentral:other from 16 species
CUUCAAUACUAUCUAGUAAUUCUAAUAG